GGAUAUAGCUCAGUUGGUAGAGUGCUUUCCUCACAUGCAUGAGGCCCUUGGUUCAAUACCCAGCACCA
rnacentral:tRNA from 1 species